AACACCGGAAGCGAUGGGAGAUCCGGGUUGUAUCGGAGAGCUGAGGCGAUUGUCCCUCCCGGAGCUCGUUUCCUGCCAUGAGAAUAGCCGCCUAACCGUCUGCGUGUCCGCCCUAUAUUUUCAAACUUCAGCCCUUUUGUGGGGAAAUGCCGAGUUUAUUUCGUGGCGUUUAUGCUGCAUGGGACAGCUAUAUGUAUGAAACUGCCUCUGCAGUACAGGGAAGGUGGUCCCACAGCAGCUUCGGAAGAUCCUCAGUGAAGUAGACUUCUGUGGACCCCUUUCAGUCUGGAUUCAGGCCUGGUUACAGGACCAAAAUGGCAUUGGGGGCACAUUUGGAUGGGGGAAGGGGUUGUUUGCCCAUGCUUGCUCUUUCUUGACUUCUCAGCAACUUUCAAUACCUUUAAGCAUGAUAGUUUUCUGGAUGGGCUCCAGGGCUUGGGUGUGGUCAGCACUGUAUUAUGGUGGUUCUCUUACUUCAGGACCAGUUCCAGUCCGUGUGUUGUGCGGGGCACAUUUGAUCACUGAUUUGAAGAGUGCCUCAGGGUUCUAUGCUUUCUCCACGUCUUCCACUGAGGAACAAUGAACGUGUACAUGAAGCCACUGGGCGAUGUUAACCAUCAGCACAAGAUGAGGUACCAUUCAUGGUAUAGCUACCCAGCUUUCUCUCUCUCCCAGGCUUCCCUUUUUAGAGAGGUUUAUAAAGAAAAUAUUGAUGCUCCAGUUUCAAUGUACCCAAGAGAAAGUGGAUUAUUUAAACCCUUUUUAAAUCAAGAUUUAGGCAACGGUACCGGAUAGAAAUUACCUGAGUCACACUGAUGGAUGGUUUGUGUUGCACCUUCAGGUCAUUUUCAGACUUUUGAAAGAAUGAAUGUGCUGGUUCAACAAGAAUUCAAGUUUAUAUUGCAUUCAUUAAGAUUAAGGAACUAGAUGGGAGAUGAACGGCAAAAACAAAUCUAAAAAGAACACUAAUCAGUUCUUUUCAAUCAAAACAUGCACUUCCUCAUACACAUAGAACAAUCAAUCAAACUGCAAAGCAUAACAUGCACAAUUUUCUAUAAAAGCAAGGGGGUUGCAGUAUUUUUGCUAGAUUUCUGAGGAUUGGAACACUUGCACAAAUCCUACAUCUGAGUUAGAAUUGGGUCCUAGAAUUAUGUACUUCUCCACUUUUUAUUUAGGAUUAGAUUUCAAGAGAGUAUCCCUCUUUUCUAGCCAAACCAUUUAUCCUAUCUGUAUUCAGUAACCAUCACAACACUCUAGCUAAUUAAAGGAUGAGAAUAGUUAAACCAUAACAAUCAUUUUCCAAGAGAGUAGAAAAGUAUAGGCCUAGUUAGAACAUAAAUUAGGUAUUUGUGGUAGUGUCUUUUGGACUGCACAGUUAUGUCAAGGAAUAGUAGGCACAGGUAAAUCUACAGUGUCAUAAUUAUAUGUUGCAGGCCGGGAUCUGUUUUUAAAUUUCAUUUUUUUGUUCUACUGUUCCUUAAGAUUUAAGAUAUUUUCUCAUAAGUUACUCUGAGCUCUCAUUCCUUUUCCUGGAACUAAUUCCAUGCAUGAUAUCGAAUAACUGUUAGCACUUAUAUACACCUUCAAUUGGGGAAAAAGUCUAAGCAUAGAAGUUGCAACAAUUGAACUCAUACCUCCGUAAUUUAAACAAAUGUCUUCUUUUCCACUUUCCCCAAGUAGGCUCCCACUAUAGUACACAUUUGGAUACCGUUAUAUAACACCUUGCUUGAACUUACCAUAUCCAUAUGCCGAUCAUUGUUUUAUGAAGUUACAAAUAAAACCUAAUUUCAGUUUAUAUAUAUUUGGUACAUAUUUAGAAGACCCCAGGCAAUGGACCUUUUCUGCUAUCGCACCCACGUUGUGUAAUAUUCCAUCAGAAUUGACAUCAGUUUCGUCUCCUGAGUUUUUGAAGGUCCCUCAAGACCUGGUUAUGUAAGCAGGCCGAGGGAUCUGGGUGAACUACUGAGGUGGCUCCAUUACUAUUAACAUCCCCUCAUUUAUUUUAUUUUAUUGUUUCUUUUUCUUCUGAAUAAAAGUAUUGCUUUUAUAGUUCUAAUCUUUUUACAAUUAUUUUUAAAUAAGUAUAAUUAUUUUAGUAAUGAUUGUUUUAUAUGUAUUGUUUUAUUGGAUGUUGUACACUGCUGAGAGUCACAUUCUGUGAUAUUGACAGCCAUAUAAAUUUGAUAAAUUAAUGUUAUAUAGUUCGUAGAAUACAAACUAUGAUGUUCAAUGAUUGAGAGAAGUAACAUCUACUGAAAUUUGGCUACUGGCACUCUUAAUUAUUACUUUUUUAUGAAAUGGAUUUCUUCUUUGCAUGUUACAAUUUGGAGUAUUUCCCUCAAGCAGCUUCUGCAGAGUUGCAGCUCAUACCUAGUAGUGACUUGAAACGAUGACCUCAAUAAACAGAGUGUAAAACAAAAGAGACACCACUUUUUCUUUACUAAAAGAAUAGACUUUAUUAAGCACUGUAAGUCUUUCUCCAUCAUCAACAGAUGAACAGCGCACCAAGAUUCCACCAGCAAAAAACAUUCCCAAAAGACACCCAAGCUUUCUGAUCACAAACCUACUGCAAAUUUCCCCUGAUUUAGAGCAACCUGUCCAAACUUACACUGAUUAAAAAACCCAACAACCUAUGGAGUAUGUUGUGGGGUGCAAGGAUUAGGGAGAUGGGAAUUUGAUUAUCAAGAUUGGGGUGGGGACAGUAAAGAUAACAUUUAUCCAUCCACUAAGAACAGGUGUUAAUUAGCAUAAAAAGAAAUAUUUUUAAAAGGUAGAAGGGAAUAAUGUAUUGAUCAUUAACUUCCCAUAUAAAUAAAGCAUGAAACUUGCAAUUGACGGGAUCACUAACAAGAAAAAUCAGAUUUACUCUGUUCAGCAAAAUUAUUGAUUUGUAUUUUUUCAGCUAAAAUCUUAGGCUAAACAUUUUGAAAAGGCAAUUGUGGAGAGAGAUAUAUCUGGUAAAAAUGCAAUGUCAAGGUUACUCAAGGAAAGUAUGAGGGAAAAGACUGGCUUAAAAUAACAACUGAGUUUGUUUUUACUUUUAAAAAUCUCACUAGGCAUUUAGUUACUAUCAACAAAGCAUCUACCAAAAUACAAGAGCAAUGGUUAUAAUCAGAAAAGGUGUACAUCCCAUCUGAAAGGGUAAUAUUAUAGACAGAUAUGGUGCUUGUGGGAAGAAAGGGUUGAUUUUUCAAAAUUGAGGACAAAAAUCUAAUCUGAAAAAUAACUAGAAAAUGAGCAACAGCGUCUGACUUUAAGCAAUGACCAGUAAAUAGCAGUUAAAAUGGUAAGAUUCGUAACAGGUGUGUUCAUUAGGUUUCCUUUAAACAUUAAAGGUGGACUUUAAAACAGAAAUCAGCACAGGUAAAACCAAAAAGCAGAAGAGGUUUUUGGGAGGGGAGAGAAUGGGAAGAAUAAAAAAUAAAAAAUAGAAGUACAUGCAUAUUUAGCAAAGUACAUGUUGUAAGUUAGCUACUAUAAUGAUUCAACCUUGGUAGUAAAAUUCUGCUAACUACAUUAAAAAUAAAAAAGAACACAUUGUAGUUUGUGUAGGAUUUGUGUCGCCUAAUCUUAACCAUGCUUACUUAGAAGAAGAGACCAUAGUACAAUGAGGCUUUUCAUCCAAGUAGCUACAGUUAAGGUUUACACUAAGUUACAUUUGAAGUUGAGUGAUGGGGGGGGAGGGGGAAUGGUGGUUCUCUGGCCCAAAUGGCUAGUUAGUGGCACUGUGUCCUCUUCACAGGCUCAAGUGUAUCUAUGUAUAAUUUGUGGAUCGGGACACCCCCAUUCCCCUCCACAAGAAUCAUGUCCCUGUUGUAAUAAUGUUCGUCUGUCACUCCCCCAGGGAUCUAAGGGUUCACUUGUUUUUUUCUGAAUCCAAGAAAGGGUGGAAUUCGAAACCACACCAGAAAAAGUUAAAAGCUGUCCCUCCCUGAAAAGGCUCCCUAGUCUUUUCAAAGUAUAUAUUAUACUGAAAGUAUAUUUGGAAUAUUCCAUUUUCUUAAGAGUUCCAGCCAAGUUAACUGGUAGCAAAAGCUUAGGAAUUGCUAGCCACAGUCACAAUUUUCAGUACUGCCUCAGAAUGGGAUCAAUGACUCCUAAGAGAAAGGCAAGCAAUCUUGGUCAACAGGUUGGUUUUAAACUUUCCCUCCCUCCCUGGUGACAAAAUUAUGAAGGAAGCAUGCUAAAACCCCAUGUCUAUGAUUUGAUGGGUCAAAUCCUUACAAAGGUUGUUGGACUCCAGGAAAUAUGCUUUAGAAAUUCAGAACUGCAACCAAAUACAGCAAGCUUAAAAAGAUUAAUUUUAUAUUUCUACCCUAAAAGAUGUCUUCCUAUAUUUUAAAGGAUGCAGUCUGAACUCAGAAAAACACUUUGUCACAUUAGUAAUUUAAGAUUCACUGGAUGAUGGGUAGGGAAGACUCAGAUUACUUCCAUGAAUUUUCAACAUCACAAUAUGCUAACUCAGCAAUUAAUGACAAUAAACAUGAAAACAUAGGUGCAGUUAAUGGGCCUUAAUUCACUGGGAUAAAUACUUGACAAUCUAUACCACACAAAGAUCCAGUUCUAGAGGGAAUCUAGAUCCCAUGGCAAGGAACUCUCCAAAACUGAAGUUCAAUUUCCAUAAUCUCUACUUUAAGGAUUAUGGGAGUUGAAGUCCAUCUUAAAUGAAGGGCACUGAAAUGGGGGAUACCAGACAAAAGGGUUACAGAAAUAAAUAAAAAAAGAAUGGCCUAGAUUCACAAAUACUUGAGAAAACCUUUGGGUCAGUUAGUUACAACAUUUCCCUAGAAAUCAACCUCAAUGAACUGGAGAUUUGCAAUUAAUUGCAACCAUUUAGUUUCCAGCUAUCUAUAAGUUUUUUUCAGAUACAAAAAAUAUUCCUUUUCUUUUCAUAAAACUUCCAUAUUAUCUAUCAUGACUAUUUUAAAACUUCUAAGUUUCACAGAUUAUCUUGCACUAAGUUUCCAGCUUUCUAGAAGUGCAAGGAUAGGAAAAAUAGAUGCUUUGUAUAUUCAGAUUUUUACUCCCGUACUUCUCUAGGGUCACAAACAGGCUAAGCUUACAAUACCUAUUUUUACCAAAUGAUCAGCAGUGGUAAACACCCACCUGUAGUGACAUAUUUGAAAUGAAACAUUCUUCCAGAUUUUUAAAUUUGGAUACAAGGGUUUGAGGGCUACAUAUUUAGCAUCUUUGAAAUCUGAACCCUUGAUUCCAAAGCAAUACUUUAGAUUUCUGAUUUCACAAGAGGAUCUCAAUGUUAGAAACUGUUAUUUAAAAACACUGGUUUGAAAGUUUGUCAUUUCAAGGUUUCAAUUCAAAUUAAUUUUAAUAUUACUAUUUAAGGCACAGUGUAACCUGUAUUAACAUUUGAUUUCUGAUCCCUCAAAAAUUUUAGUAACUACCGUAAGUACAUCUACUAGUUUAGGGAAAGAGGGAAUUUGCAUUCCUUUGCCCCCAAAUAAAGACAAUAACAAUAUGAAAAUCUUACCUGUUGUUUUUCAAAGCACAACCCAAUCUACCACUAUGCUCCUGCUGUAAUUCUAAUCCAACCUUUUUCAAUCUGGUUUCCUCCCCAGACAUGUGUUAGACUUCAGAUCUCCCACUUCCCUAGCCAGUGGACUGGGGCAGGCUAUUCUGAUCAAAAGAGAAGAGGGUCCCUAGGAGAAAGACUCAUUCUGCAAAAAUAGAACCUCAAAUGAUAUUAAUCAGUUCUAUCCUAAAACUUAGGGUGUGGGGGGGAGCCCUUCUAAACUUCUUUAAUUCUCUCAAAGAAAGACUCAAUUACAAAAUCUUUCUCCAGUGGGAAUGACUUCAUUGUAACAUCAUAUUCAUAUUUUAGCUCUGCAGGCACGAACCGUAUCAGUCUGACCUGAUUUGGGAAACUGCAGUAAUUAAAACAGUACAUUUUUGCAACAACAUAUGCAAAUCCACUUGCUUAAAAAGCAUUCGUCAAAUUAUUGCUUUUCACUGUGGACUUAAGAAGGUCAUGUCAUCUGGCUCUCAUAUGGUGGAGCAAUGGGCAUCAAAGCAGAGACGCUUUUUAAGAAAUGGUCACGUAAGGGAAAGCGUUAACUUAAUGCAAGUAAAAGAUGCCUUGACCAAAAAUACAUUCAGAAAUCUAAAUAUAUCAAUGAAGAAGAGUGAUUCUUUGGAUCCAGAAAGGAGAAACAAAAUCAGUAAUUUUAUCCAUCUCUUUGGCUCUGAUACAACACUGGACUUUGAAUUGCAUGUUUUCAUUAUCCCUCUUACAGCCCCCAGGGAAGCACUUUGCAUUUUUAUUGAAUAUUUUAAAGCUGCAUGAUACCUUCUAUUGUUUCGGAUCAGCAGACAGUAAGCAACUCAAAACAAAAUCAGGCCUCAAUCAUCUACAUGUUUUAAAAGUAUUCAGGAUGUUUAUCAAGGGAAAUUUAAUAACAUUAUUUCAAACCUCAUUUUCUACUAGCUUACUCCAGAUCAAAACUAAGUAAAAUUUAAUCUUCAAACAUUGAAUUUUGUCAUGGGUAUAAAAUGAUCAAAUUCAUAUCUCCACAACCAUUUUCUAAAAUGUUAAAAAAAAAAUCUACCAAAUUAAAUUUGGGCAUCAUUUUCAAGAUCUGAGAUUUCAUCCAGGCACCUACAUUUCUAUACAAUAUCUUUGCUAACAUGAACAAUUAGGAUUU